rfam:Acinetobacter haemolyticus CIP 64.3 genomic scaffold acLrj-supercont1.11, whole genome shotgun sequence.
CUGUCUCUAGGGUGUUCGCCAGUACGUCUAGUCCCCUGCCGAUACUUAAAUUUAUGGAUGUGUUCUGUAUAUUUUGAGUGUAUGCCUACCUCCGAGUAGGAAACCCAUUAAAUAUGCGUCACCUCCACCUUGAACUCAUCGGGUUCAGGGUAACGACCAUGCAGCGGCAUCUCUGGAGCAUUU